ensembl:lncRNA
AAGGUAACUUUUCCUUCUGUAGUUACCCUCCAUGCAUUUGUCAAGGACGCAUUUGUUGUGAAACGUUAAAAGGGUGCUUCUGCUCCAGAAGGCUGGAGGACAGCUGCUGCUGCAACACUACCCAGGCUCAGCUCAUGCAGGGGGCACAGUUGGAGGCACUGGAAGGUUGGCUGUUCCCAAUAUAGGACAAGCAACAUUUAACAUCAUAGCAAUCAGCAGUGAUCAAAGCUACUUCAGCUGAAAGUUUGUUUUUGUCUGUGAUACCAAGUCUAAUGUGCCACAGAGCACACUGACUGCAUAUGAUCCUUUCCACUGAAGGGAUAAGUCCUCAGCAAGAUACACAGCACGGAACAUGUCAACUUUCUUUGUUGUUUAUGAUAUCUUCUCUGAGAAGUGGCUGUACUGGCAGAAGAAAUGCUGCCAAGGGCAAGAUGAGUUCCUUAAAAUGUCAAAAUUAUCAUUACUCUUCCUUCAUCAAAGACCUACUUCAGACAAAUCACUAGGAAGCUCACCCUUUCGUGAGGAUCCUUCCUGUCAGAAGACUCAAUUCCUCUCUCUCCCACACCACAAGUCCCUUCUCAUAUCUUCACAUGACACUCCUGUGACAUCCUCCGCACUGUGAGCCACCACAGUGCAACAGGAGGAACGUCUUAGAAACACUAAGACAACGUUUUCUUCCUCUUAAGGUUGCACUCCCUGUGAAUUUUAAUCACUCUUGAAAAGGAUCUUCUUGCUGUGAUGCUUAUAAAAAACAACCCAAAACACCAUCAAUGUGAAGGUUUGGUGAGCUCAGACAAGCAUUCGUCAGGUUACUCUGACUCCACUAGACAGGGUGUCCUUCCAAAGGCCUCCCUCAGGGCAAUCUCCUCAAUGCCUGUAGUCUGGUUUUCAGAGUACCCAUAAAAAUGCCCCUCCUAACCCCCAUCAGCACAGUCUAGUGCAAUGAGUCUUUUUGGGUCAGAGCUUUUCCUGGGGAGUUCUUCUCUUCGUUCCCCCCUCUGCCCCAUUUCCUCUCACCUAACAGUAAGUAUUUGAAUUCCUCAGCAGGCUGCAAAUAGAAAUCAACAGGAAGGGCAAACAGGGUUGAUCAGCUUUGCACACAGCAGUAGGUCUUGCUGCAGUCAUCAAGAAUUAUCAGAUGAGUUUCAGCCCUGAGUCAGAGGCAGCAAGGAUGGUAUGCUACACAAGCAAGUACACAAAGAAAGUUUCAUUUCAGUGUCACUGAAAAGACUCCAAGAAGCAAGAUCUGGGAGCAGGUAGCACAGUGCCUUCAAACCAACCAUUUCAGAUUUACACCUGUGCUACCCUACACAUCCUUUCUUCUAGAGGAAGCAUUCCAGCCUUGGAUAAAUGAUUCCUGUUAAGAAAAAUAGAGUGAUAUUGACAGAUCACCAUCACCUGCAAAUCAUUUGGAAAAGAGCUCCUUAACACCUUAUGUAAAAUCAUGAAAUAAAUUCAACGUUAAUUAUUCUCUAC